rnacentral:rRNA from 1 species
GUCUACGGCCAUACCACCCUGAACGCACCCAAUCUCGUCUGAUCUCGGAAGCUAAGCAGGGUCGGGUCUGGUUAGUACUUGGGUGGGAGAAAUAAACCCACACAUGUACUGUCAAUU